UCCUCGCGCCACAGUGCGCAGAUCUGCGGCGCAGUGUCCGGAGCUGAGACCGGAAGCUCUGCCUCUUGUCCCGGAGACACGAUGGAGAGCAGUCGUACUUCCUCCCACGUCCCGGGCGAACGAGGAUCUCUCCGGGGUGAAUCUCCAGUAAUGCAGGAGUGCAGGUGAAGAUGGCUGGUGAAAGCAAUGAUUGGCCCACAUGGUCAGAUGCUUCAGGUUACAAUAAGCGUUUCCUGGAGAUGCACCUGAUGUAAUCAUGUGUGCAUCCUGUGCUGAACAGGAGUUGCCUCAGAUUACAUGAUGUGGUGACAGGAUGAACCCGGUGUAAUCCCUUGUGUGUUCUGUGCUGAUGAGACCAUGUGAUACGGUGGCUGGAGAAGCACCUCAUCUGUAAUCCUGUGCUGAUCAGAUAAGCAGCUACUGUAAUGGAGUCUGAGAACUAGCGUCUCUGGUUACAGAGCCAGUUGACUGAUCAUGUUUAUAGGAAAAGCAAAUGUCAACGUGUAGCUGGAGCUGAUGGAAUCAACAUUCAGCAGAGAUUUAAUUGCAAAUCUAUUAUUUAAUUAAACUUGUUUGGAAA